GAGUUUGAUCGUGGCUCAGGAUGAACGCUAGCGACAGGCUUAACACAUGCAAGUCGAGGGGCAGCGGGGAGUCAAGCUUGCUUGACUCUGCCGGCGACCGGCGCACGGGUGAGUAACACGUAUGCAACCUGCCCAUGACAGGUGGAUAACCGGGAGAAAUUCCGACUAAUACAGCAUAACACCUCAAGGGGACAUCCCCUUGAGGUCAAAGGAGGCGACUCCGGUCAUGGAUGGGCAUGCGGCGCAUUAGGUAGUUGGUGAGGCAACGGCUCACCAAGCCGACGAUGCGUAGGGGUUCUGAGAGGAAGGUCCCCCACAUUGGAACUGAGACACGGUCCAAACUCCUACGGGAGGCAGCAGUGAGGAAUAUUGCACAAUGGGCGAAAGCCUGAUGCAGCGACGCCGCGUGAGCG
rnacentral:rRNA from 1 species